CCUGCGCGCUCUCCCCGUCCCAGUGAAAAGAGCUCUCUCGGGGGGGAAAACAAGCAGGACGACCAUGGCGGAAGAAAGUUCUUACUUUUGAAAAUUUUUGUUUUUUUUACACUUUCUGUCACUUCCGACAAAGCGCGCAGCGGCAAAAAGUGGCAUUUUUUUAAAACUUAUUUUAGUUUCCAAAGUCGUAAAUCUCCAAACAUAGCCCGGAAAGUUAGCUCGUUAGCCCGGGAUAGCACGUUAGCAUGCUGGGCUAGCACGUUAGCAUCCUCGGCCGGCGACGUUCGGGAGAAAAAGAGGCCGGCCCGAGAGGCGACCCCAGGCGGCUACAAGUGGCGAGGAAUGUCGCCUCCCGGGAUUGCCUUCACCUACGGAUGAGAAGGGGAUUGGGGCGCGCGGAGAGCAACGGACGAGCGGCGCCAUGUCGGCCAGCCCGUCGGAGUCCCGAGGAUGGCCGCGCUCGGUGGUGUGGCGGCCGGGGGGAUUCUUCCUCUUCUUCCCGCUGCUGCUGCUGCUGGAGGGCGGCCUCGGCCUCGCCAGCCCGGGCAGCCUGGCUGGGCUCAGCAGCCACAACCGCAGCGUCAACAUUUACUUGAGUGUGGAGGAGGUGAAGAAACUACUGGGCCUGGACGCAGAGCUUUACUACGUCCGGGACGACGUUGUCAAUCAUUACGCGCUGUCCUUCACUCUGCCGGACCCCAGUGAGACCAACAGCCUUCACUUCACGUGGCACUCCAAGUCCAAGGUGGACUACCAACUAGGUUUCCUCGUAGAGAACCCUGUUGCCAUGAACCUUCCACGGAGCAACAUCACCAGCCAAGGGGAGGUGCCCCGCGUUCCCUCCGUUUUUCGAGUGGACCUUUUCUGCUCCGGCAAGAUUGACGGCGAGGCGGUGGUGACGCUGCAGCUCAAUCUGAGCAUCCAGGCCAACAACUACACAGUGCUCAACUUCAAGAGGAGGAAAAUGUGCUACAAAAGAAUAGAUUCCGACCCCAAAGUUCCAUUCCCUUUCAACAACCACAGCCUCCCCACCCUCCAGCAGCCUGACUCAGAUGGCGUGACCGCGCCCACCACCUCCACUCAGGUGUUCUACAUCAGUGUCAGCGUGUGCUGCAUCGUCAUCUUCCUGGUGGCCAUCAUCCUGGCCAUCCUGCACCUGCACAGCAUGAAGAGAGUGGAGAUGGAGGACAGCGUGAGCGACAGUGGAAGCUCUCAGAGACUCUCUCAGCCAUCCACGCAGACCACGCAGUACCUGAGGGCCGACACACCCAACAAUGCAGCCCCCGUGUCCAACAACCACCCUGGCUCUGCACCCAUACUCCAGCUCGCUGCCUCCUCCUUCCAAAACCCCGGCGUCCCCCCUCACGAAACCAAAAGCUACCCAUCCCUCCGCAUCGAGAAGAACGACCUGAGGAGCGUCACUCUCACGGAGGCCAAAGCCAAAGUGAAAGACAUCGCCAUUUCCAGGGAGAGAGUCACUCUGCGAGAUGUCUUGCACGAAGGCACGUUUGGCCGCAUCUUCCACGGCGUGCUGCUGGACGAGAAGGACCCCAGUAAGGAAAGGCCGGUGUUUGUGAAGACCGUGAAAGAUCACGCUUCCGAGGUCCAGGUGACCAUGAUGUUGACUGAAAGUUGCAAGCUUCGCGGUCUUCAUCACAGAAACUUGCUGCCUGUCAGUCACGUGUGCACGGAGGACGGCGAGAAGCCCAUGGUGCUGCUGCCUUUCAUGGCCUGGGGGAACCUGAAGCUGUUCCUGCGCCAGUGCAAGCUGGCUGAAGCCAACAACCCGCAGGCCGUCUCUCAGCAAGACCUGGUCUACAUGGCGAUCCAGAUCGCGUGCGGAAUGAGCUACCUGGCCCGGCGAGAGGUCAUCCACAAAGACCUGGCCGCCAGGAACUGUGUCAUCGACGACAACAUGCAGGUGAAGAUCACGGACAACGCCCUGGCCCGAGAUCUCUUCCCCAUGGACUACCACUGCCUGGGGGACAACGAGAACCGGCCCGUGCGCUGGAUGGCUCUGGAAAGCCUGCUGGACAACGACUUCUCCAGCGCCAGCGACGUGUGGGCUUUUGGCGUGACGCUGUGGGAGCUGAUGACGCUGGGCCAGACGCCGUACGUGGACAUCGACCCCUUUGAGAUGUCCGCCUACCUGAAGGACGGCUACCGGAUAGCACAGCCCAUCAACUGUCCCGAUGAACUGUUUGCGGUCAUGGCGUGCUGCUGGGCUCUGGACCCCGAGGAAAGACCCAAGUUCCAGCAGCUGGUGCAGUGUCUCACCGAGUUCCACGCCGCGUUGGGGGCUUACGUGAGGAAGUUCCAGGACUCACCACAUGGAUUAUACUCCCUGUUGGGUGUGGCUGCCAUCACCACACUUUUCUCAGCUCUCUGAAGAAAACUCACACGGCUUCUCUUUUUGCCGGAUAAUUCCACGCAAUGUCGCACACCUCAGCGUUUCCUUGCGAGUGACAUCCACGUGAGUUCACUGAGGGAUGAUACUGAUAAAGCUGGCGUGUAUCGGACCACUUCUCCUCGUUUUGUAUUCCCACAAUCCUGGUCUUGUCCCGCAGUAGAAGUCCAGCCUAUGUCACACGUCUGCCACCUGCCACGUGUUUUUCAGGGUCACUUGAAGUUCUGCGUUGACCAAUAAAGUUGUUUUUACUGCAGGACUCUUUCUUAUGUUUUGGUCUCAGCCUGUCCAUUGGACUGUGACUCAGCGUCCAACUUGUGGACAUGAAUCCCAAGAAAGAACAUUACCUCACCAUGAAGUCAGAACAGUUGUAUUUCUGACCUUCCUCCGAAGACACGCCCACUUUUAGGGAACUACAUCUGUCAUCAGCUAAGAGGAAGAGUCUGGUUAUCUCCGGGGCGCUCCCUGCUGGACGUAAACAAUGCACUCAAUAUUCAACACAUCUCAAAAGACACCGCUGAUUUAGACCCUCCAGGAUUCCGCUGUCUCUUUUGGUAAAUGCCUAAAAAAUCUCUGGAUUCCCGGCAUCU